rnacentral:rRNA from 1 species
CCUACGGGCGGCAGCAGUGGGGAAUAUUGCACAAUGGGGGAAACCCUGAUGCAGCGACGCCGCGUGAGCGAUGAAGUAUUUCGGUAUGUAAAGCUCUAUCAGCAGGGAAGAAAAUGACGGUACCUGACUAAGAAGCCCCGGCUAACUACGUGCCAGCAGCCGCGGUAAUACGUAGGGGGCAAGCGUUAUCCGGAUUUACUGGGUGUAAAGGGAGCGUAGACGGCACUACAAGUCUGGAGUGAAAUGCCGGGGCUUAACCCCGGGACUGCUUUUGAAACUGUGCGGCUAGAGUGCAGGAGAGGUAAGCGGAAUUCCUAGUGUAGCGGUGAAAUGCGUAGAUAUUAGGAGGAACACCAGUGGCGAAGGCGGCUUGCUGGACUGUAACUGACGUUGAGGCUCGAAAGCGUGGGGAGCAAACAGGAUUAGAUACCCUAGUAGUC